UACGGGGGGGGGCAAGCGUUUGUUCGGAAUUACUGGGCGUAAAGGGCUCGUAGGUGGCCAACUAAGUCAGACGUGAAAUCCCCUCGGCUUAACCGGGGAACUGCGUCUGAUACUGGAUGGCUUGAGUUUGGGAGAGGGAUGCGGAAUUCCAGGUGUAGCGGUGAAAUGCGUAGAUAUCUGGAGGAACACCGGUGGCGAAGGCGGCAUCCUGGACCAACACUGACACUGAGGAGCGAAAGCCAGGGGAGCAAACGGG
rnacentral:rRNA from 1 species